rnacentral:rRNA from 1 species
CAGCAGCCGCGGUAAUACGUAGGUCCCGAGCGUUGUCCGGAUUUAUUGGGCGUAAAGCGAGCGCAGGCGGUUAGAUAAGUCUGAAGUUAAAGGCUGUGGCUUAACCAUAGUACGCUUUGGAAACUGUUUAACUUGAGUGCAGAAGGGGAGAGUGGAAUUCCAUGUGUAGCGGUGAAAUGCGUAGAUAUAUGGAGGAACACCGGUGGCGAAAGCGGCUCUCUGGUCUGUAACUGACGCUGAGGCUCGAAAGCGUGGGGAGCGAACAGGAUUAGAUACCCGCGUAGUCCCUGUCUCUUAUACA